rnacentral:rRNA from 1 species
UACGGAGGGUGCGAGCGUUGUCCGGAAUCACUGGGCGUAAAGGGCGCGUAGGCGGCGCGGAUAGUCGGCGGUGAAAGCCCGGAGCUCAACUCCGGGUCGGCCGUCGAUACUUCCGGGCUUGAGCACUGUAGAGGCAGAUGGAAUUCCGGGUGUAGCGGUGGAAUGCGUAGAGAUCCGGAAGAACACCGGUGGCGAAGGCGGUCUGCUGGGCAGUUGCUGACGUGAUGCGCGACAGCGUGGGGAGCAAACGAGG